GUACACUCCUACGGGAGGCAGCAGUGGGGAAUAUUGGACAAUGGGCGCAAGCCUGAUCCAGCCAUGCCGCGUGAGUGAUGAAGGCCCUAGGGUUGUAAAGCUCUUUCACCGGUGAAGAUAAUGACGGUAACCGGAGAAGAAGCCCCGGCUAACUUCGUGCCAGCAGCCGCGGUAAUACGAAGGGGGCUAGCGUUGUUCGGAUUUACUGGGCGUAAAGCGCACGUAGGCGGACUAUUAAGUCAGGGGUGAAAUCCCGGGGCUCAACCCCGGAACUGCCUUUGAUACUGGUAGUCUUGAGUUCGAGAGAGGUGAGUGGAAUUCCGAGUGUAGAGGUGAAAUUCGUAGAUAUUCGGAGGAACACCAGUGGCGAAGGCGGCUCACUGGCUCGAUACUGACGCUGAGGUGCGAAAGCGUGGGGAGCAAACAGGAUUAGAUACCCUAGUAGUCCCAUGAU
rnacentral:rRNA from 1 species